GGUUAAGCGACUAAGCGUACACGGUGGAUGCCCUGGCAGUCAGAGGCGAUGAAGGACGUGCUAAUCUGCGAAAAGCGCCGGCGAGGUGAUAUGAACCUUUGACCCGGCGAUGUCCGAAUGGGGAAACCCAGUGUGAUUCGUCACACUAUCGUUAACUGAAUACAUAGGUUAACGAGGCGAACCGGGGGAACUGAAACAUCUAAGUACCCCGAGGAAAAGAAAUCAACCGAGAUUCCCCCAGUAGCGGCGAGCGAACGGGGAGCAGCCCAGAGUCUGAAUCAGCUUGUGUGUUAGUGGAAGCGUCUGGAAAGUCGCACGGUACAGGGUGACAGUCCCGUACACGAAAAUGCACAGGUUGUGAACUCGAAGAGUAGGGCGGGACACGUGGUAUCCUGUCUGAAUAUGGGGGGACCAUCCUCCAAGGCUAAAUACUCCUGACUGACCGAUAGUGAACCAGUACCGUGAGGGAAAGGCGAAAAGAACCCCGGCGAGGGGAGUGAAAAAGAACCUGAAACCGUGUACGUACAAGCAGUGGGAGCACCUUCGUGGUGUGACUGCGUACCUUUUGUAUAAUGGGUCAGCGACUUAUAUUCUGUAGCAAGGUUAACCGUAUAGGGGAGCCGAAGGGAAACCGAGUCUUAACUGGGCGUUAAGUUGCAGGGUAUAGACCCGAAACCCGGUGAUCUAGCCAUGGGCAGGUUGAAGGUUGGGUAACACUAACUGGAGGACCGAACCGACUAAUGUUGAAAAAUUAGCGGAUGACUUGUGGCUGGGGGUGAAAGGCCAAUCAAACCGGGAGAUAGCUGGUUCUCCCCGAAAGCUAUUUAGGUAGCGCCUCGUGAACUCAUCUUCGGGGGUAGAGCACUGUUUCGGCUAGGGGGCCAUCCCGGCUUACCAACCCGAUGCAAACUACGAAUACCGAAGAAUGUUAUCACGGGAGACACACGGCGGGUGCUAACGUCCGUCGUGAAGAGGGAAACAACCCAGACCGCCAGCUAAGGUCCCAAAGUCAUGGUUAAGUGGGAAACGAUGUGGGAAGGCACAGACAGCCAGGAUGUUGGCUUAGAAGCAGCCAUCAUUUAAAGAAAGCGUAAUAGCUCACUGGUCGAGUCGGCCUGCGCGGAAGAUGUAACGGGGCUAAACCAUGCACCGAAGCUGCGGCAGCGACGCUUAUGCGUUGUUGGGUAGGGGAGCGUUCUGUAAGCCGUUGAAGGUGGCCUGUGAGGGUUGCUGGAGGUAUCAGAAGUGCGAAUGCUGACAUAAGUAACGAUAAAGCGGGUGAAAAGCCCGCUCGCCGGAAGACCAAGGGUUCCUGUCCAACGUUAAUCGGGGCAGGGUGAGUCGACCCCUAAGGCGAGGCCGAAAGGCGUAGUCGAUGGGAAACAGGUUAAUAUUCCUGUACUUGGUGUUACUGCGAAGGGGGGACGGAGAAGGCUAUGUUAGCCGGGCGACGGUUGUCCCGGUUUAAGCAUGUAGGCGGAACGAUUAGGUAAAUCCGGUCGUUUUUUAACGCUGAGGUGUGAUGACGAGGCACUACGGUGCUGAAGUAACAAAUGCCCUGCUUCCAGGAAAAGCCUCUAAGCAUCAGGUAACAUCAAAUCGUACCCCAAACCGACACAGGUGGUCAGGUAGAGAAUACCAAGGCGCUUGAGAGAACUCGGGUGAAGGAACUAGGCAAAAUGGUGCCGUAACUUCGGGAGAAGGCACGCUGAUAUGUAGGUGAAGCCCCUGCGGGUGGAGCUGAAAUCAGUCGAAGAUACCAGCUGGCUGCAACUGUUUAUUAAAAACACAGCACUGUGCAAACACGAAAGUGGACGUAUACGGUGUGACGCCUGCCCGGUGCCGGAAGGUUAAUUGAUGGGGUUAGCGGCAACGCGAAGCUCUUGAUCGAAGCCCCGGUAAACGGCGGCCGUAACUAUAACGGUCCUAAGGUAGCGAAAUUCCUUGUCGGGUAAGUUCCGACCUGCACGAAUGGCGUAAUGAUGGCCAGGCUGUCUCCACCCGAGACUCAGUGAAAUUGAACUCGCUGUGAAGAUGCAGUGUACCCGCGGCAAGACGGAAAGACCCCGUGAACCUUUACUAUAGCUUGACACUGAACACUGGUCCUUGAUGUGUAGGAUAGGUGGGAGGCUUUGAAGUGUGGACGCCAGUCUGCAUGGAGCCGUCCUUGAAAUACCACCCUUUAAUGGCUGGUGUUCUAACGUAGACCCGUAAUCCGGGUUGCGGACAGUGUCUGGUGGGUAGUUUGACUGGGGCGGUCUCCUCCCAAAGAGUAACGGAGGAGCACGAAGGUUAGCUAAUCCUGGUCGGACAUCAGGAGGUUAGUGCAAUGGCAUAAGCUAGCUUGACUGCGAGAGUGACGGCUCGAGCAGGUGCGAAAGCAGGUCAUAGUGAUCCGGUGGUUCUGAAUGGAAGGGCCAUCGCUCAACGGAUAAAAGGUACUCCGGGGAUAACAGGCUGAUACCGCCCAAGAGUUCAUAUCGACGGCGGUGUUUGGCACCUCGAUGUCGGCUCAUCACAUCCUGGGGCUGAAGUAGGUCCCAAGGGUAUGGCUGUUCGCCAUUUAAAGUGGUACGCGAGCUGGGUUUAGAACGUCGUGAGACAGUUCGGUCCCUAUCUGCCGUGGGCGCUGGAGAAUUGAGGGGGGCUGCUCCUAGUACGAGAGGACCGGAGUGGACGCAUCACUGGUGUUCGGGUUGUCAUGCCAAUGGCACUGCCCGGUAGCUAAAUGCGGAAAAGAUAAGUGCUGAAAGCAUCUAAGCACGAAACUUGCCCCGAGAUGAGUUCUCCCUGAGACUUUAAGUCUCCUGAAGGAACGUUGAAGACGACGACGUUGAUAGGUCGGGUGUGUAAGCGCAGCGAUGCGUUGAGCUAACCGAUACUAAUGAACCGUGAGGCUUAACCUU
rnacentral:rRNA from 1 species